AGCCCAUGAUGAGGGCACAACCUUAACGCCCCUUAAAAUGCUCUCAUGCUUCAUAAAGUGAUUCUCCGUCCUUUUGGGCAAAACUAGUGAGUUGAUUUCUUAAUUAGGUU